rnacentral:lncRNA from 1 species
UAUACAGUAGUUGAAUAAAUUGUCCAAGGUUAUCCAGCCAAUCAGCAGAGGGACAAAUAAUCAAUACAAGCAUUCUGACUGCAAGACUGGGCUUCGAAUCUCCCCACCGCACUAUUUCAUUGCCAUAAUAUAGAUGAUUCAUGAUGACAACUCAUCCUGGUUUUGUCUGCUAAAUUUUGAAGGCCCCCUGAAAUUUGAAGGACAAUCUCAUUUUCACCUUUAUUUUUUCUCACCAUAUCGUUUACCAGAAAUGAAUACAUGGCAAAAUGAUUCACUUUGGUUUCACCCUGUUUUCCUUUGCCUCAGCACUGUUACUAAAAUAACUAAAGCAGAAGAGACAAGUGGUAUGAAAAGAUGUAGCCUAGAUAACCAAUACAGUAUCUAGAAGUCUCUGUACUUUCUUUCUUUGCAGCUCUGAACACAAGCCAAAUCUUACCCUUGUUCAUGGAUUUGUAUAGAAAAUCCAUUUGCAUACCAGAAGAGAGAAUGGGGCUUUUAAUGAUCUUAAUGGAAACUAGAAAUAUAUUGCUUUCCUGAUAACUUGUCAUUUUGCAUGUUCAUCUUCCUGGCACCAGAAUACAAGCAUGUAAACCUGUGAACUGCUGCCUAUCAUUAGAGAAACUGAUGUGACAUUCCCAGCUCUUGCAGCCUAUUCCCAUACCCGAUUUUUUUCUUGUCUCUAGUUUGCUUUUUUCUUGA